AUUGAACGCUGGCGGCAGGCCUAACACAUGCAAGUCGAGCGGAUGAAGGGAGCUUGCUCCUGGAUUCAGCGGCGGACGGGUGAGUAAUGCCUAGGAAUCUGCCUGGUAGUGGGGGAUAGCGUCCGGAAACGGGCGCUAAUACCGCAUACGUCCUGAGGGAGAAAGUGGGGGAUCUUCGGACCUCACGCUAUCAGAUGAGCCUAGGUCGGAUUAGCUAGUUGGUGGGGUAAAGGCCUACCAAGGCGACGAUCCGUAACUGGUCUGAGAGGAUGACCAGUCACACUGGAACUGAGACACGGUCCAGACUCCUACGGGAGGCAGCAGUGGGGAAUAUUGGACAAUGGGCGAAAGCCUGAUCCAGCCAUGCCGCGUGUGUGAAGAAGGUCUUCGGAUUGUAAAGCACUUUAAGUUGGGAGGAAGGGCAGUAAGUUAAUACCUUGCUGUUUUGACGUUACCAACAGAAUAAGCACCGGCUAACUUCGUG
rnacentral:rRNA from 1 species